AACGAACGCUGGCGGCAUGCCUAACACAUGCAAGUCGAACGAAGUCUUCGGACUUAGUGGCGCACGGGUGCGUAACGCGUGGGAAUCUGCCCUUGGGUGCGGAAUAACUUCUCGAAAGGGAUGCUAAUACCGCAUAAUGUCGUAAGACCAAAGAUUUAUCGCCCAAGGAUAGAGCCCGCGUAAGAUUAGCUAGUUGGUGGGGUAAAAGCCUACCAAGGCGACGAUCUUUAGCUGGUCUGAGAGGAUGAUCAGCCACACUGGGACUGAGACACGGCCAGACUCCUACGGGAGGCAGCAGUGGGAAUAUU
rnacentral:rRNA from 1 species